GUGAGCCGGCCGGUCAAGAAGGAGGAUCCCCAUCAACGCACGAAGAGGCCUUGGAUCCGUGGGUUUACUCACGGAUUUCUCCACCAAAUCCUCGCCGGAAGGGCCGCCGGAGCAUUCCGCCGGACCGAGGUAAGCCUUGUGCUUCAUUACUUUGUUUUUUAGGUGGUGUUGGUGAAGUUUUGGCCGGUGAAGCCGUCGGAGAGGGAUCCGAAACAGGGUACCCCUGUUUCGGCCCCCUUCUUUCGGAUCUCGCCGCCGGCGGCCGCCGGGAAUGGCCGAGGUCCAUGG
rnacentral:lncRNA from 1 species